UACGUAGGGGGCAAGCGUUGUCCGGAUUUACUGGGCGUAAAGGGCGUGUAGGCGGUCAGGUAAGUGGGACGUGAAAUCCCUCGGCUCACCCGAGGACCUGCGUCCCAUACUGCUUGGCUUGAGUAUGGGAGAGGAUGAGGGAAUUCCUGGUGUAGCGGUGAAAUGCGUAGAUAUCAGGAGGAACACCGGUGGCGAAGGCGCUCAUCUGGCCCAAUACUGACGCUGAGGCGCGAAAGCUAGGGGAGCAAACGGG
rnacentral:rRNA from 1 species